GGAAUUGACGGGGACCCGCACAAGCAGCGGAGCGUGUGGUUUAAUUCGAUGCUACACGAAGAACCUUACCAGGGUUUGACAUGCAAGUGGUAGGAAACUGAAAAGGGACCGACCCUUCGGGAGCUUGCACAGGUGCUGCAUGGCUGUCGUCAGCUCGUGUCGUGAGAUGUUCGGUUAAGUCCGCUAACGAGCGCAACCCUCGCUGUGUGUUAUAUGUGUCACACAGGACUGCUGGUAUUAAGCCGGAGGAAGUGGGACGACGUCAAGUCAGCAUGACCUUUAUAUCCAGGGCUACACACACGCUACAAUGGUCAGUACAAUGGGUUGCCAAGCCGCGAGGCGGAGCCAAUCCUAAAAAGCUGGCCUCAGUUCAGAUUGCAGUCUGAAACUCGACUGCAUGAAGUCGGAGUUGCUAGUAAACGCAGGUCAGCUAUACUGCGUUGAAUACGUUCCCGGGGCUU
rnacentral:rRNA from 1 species